rnacentral:rRNA from 1 species
GGAAAGUUGCAAAGCACUUUGAAGAGAGAGUUAAAGAGGACGUGAAACCGGCAUGAUGGAAACGGAUAGAGCUAGUAAAAGGGCUCGCAUUCAGCUGAUAAUGGGUGUUCCAGCCCGGAAUCGGUGCAUUUGUGGGCAAUUGCGCUGAGACUGGCGAGACAGCGACUGGCCCCGGUGCUAGAGGCUUUCGUCUUGAUUGAACCUGGCGCCGGCUACGGUUGUUUGCCUUGCCUGUCCUGUGGCUUGGUCUCGAGCAAAGCUGUCUUCGUUGUUCUGCUGUCAAGUCAAUCGCUUGCGUUGGCUGAUGGUGGGGCGGCGUUCGGCGGUGGCGUUCACAAGCACACUCUCGGUGUAGAAGCUGGUCAUCUAUCCGACCCGUCUUGAAACACGGACCAAGGAGUUUAGCGUAUGCGCGAGUCAUUGGGCGUUGAAAACCCAAAGGCGCAAUGAAGGUAAAGGUUCAGUCACUGGACUGACAUACGAACGCUGAGCUUCGGCUACGGUGUGCAGUAUGGUCCCGUUCUGGUCACUUGUGGCGGAGCGGAGACAGAGCGUAUGCGCUGAGACCCGAAAGAUGGUGAACUAUUCCUGAGCAGGACGAAGCCAGAGGAAACUCUGGUGGAAGUCCGAAGCGAUUCUGACGUGCAAAUCGAUCGUCUGACUUGGGUAUAGGGGCGAAAGACUAAUCGAACCAUCUAGUAGCUG